GAUGAACGCUGGCGGCGUGCCUCAAACAUGCAAGUCGAGCGGGGCUAUGUAAUAUCGCAAGGUAGAACAUAGCCUAGCGGCGAACGGGUGAGUAACACGUGGGUAACCUGCCUGGAAGACAGGGAUAACGAUUCGAAAGGGUCGCUAAUACCUGAUAAUAUCCUUUCAUCGCAUGGUGAUAGGAAGAAAGGGGAAACCCGCUUUCAGAUGGGCCCGCGUCCCAUCAGCUAGUUGGUAAGGUAAAGGCUUACCAAGGCGACGACGGGUAGCCGGUCUGAGAGGAUGUACGGCCACACUGGGACUGAGAUACGGCCCAGACUCCUACGGGAGGCAGCAGUUGGGAAUCUUAGGCAAUGGACGAAAGUCUGACCUAGCGACGCCGCGUGAGGGGAAGAAGGCCUUCGGGUUGUAAACCUCUGUCAUGGGGAAGAAGUAAGUGACGGUACCCAAGAGGAAGCCCCUGCUAACUACGUGCCACGCCGCCGCCGGUAAAAACCAGUACUAGUCU
rnacentral:rRNA from 1 species